GAGUCGCAAGACCGCGAGGUUUAGCAAAUCNCUUAAAGCCGUUCUCAGUUCGGAUUGUAGGCUGCAACUCGCCUACAUGAAGUCGGAAUCGCUAGUAAUCGCGGAUCAGCAUGCCGCGGUGAAUACGUUCCCGGGCCUUGUACACACCGCCCGUCACACCAUGAGAGUUUGUAACACCCAAAGCCGGUGGGGUAACCUUUUGGAGCCAGCCGUCUAAGGUGGGACAGAUGAUUAGGGUGAAGUCGUAACAAGGUACC
rnacentral:rRNA from 1 species